rnacentral:rRNA from 1 species
GACGAACGCUGGCGGCGUGCUUAACACAUGCAAGUCGUACGGUAAGGCCCUUUCGGGGGUACACGAGUGGCGAACGGGUGAGUAACACGUGAGUAACCUGCCCACAACUUUGGGAUAACGCUAGGAAACUGGUGCUAAUACUGGAUAUGUGCUCCUGCUGCAUGGUGGGGGUUGGAAAGCUCCGGCGGUUGUGGAUGGACUCGCGGCCUAUCAGCUUGUUGGUGGGGUAGUGGCCUACCAAGGCGGCGACGGGUAGCCGGCCUGAGAGGGUGACCGGCCACAUUGGGGCUGAGAUACGGCCCAGACUCCUACGGGAGGCAGCAGUGGGGAAUAUUGCACAAUGGGCGCAAGCCUGAUGCAGCAACGCCGCGGGCGGGAUGACGGCCUUCGGGUUGUAAACCGCUUUCAGCAGGGACGAAGCUUUUUGUGACGGUACCUGCAGAAGAAGCACCGGCUAACUACGUG